rnacentral:rRNA from 1 species
UACGUAGGGGGCAAGCGUUGUCCGGAAUCAUUGGGCGUAAAGAGCGCGUAGGCGGUCCGGUAAGUCGGUUGUGAAAACUGGGGGCUCAACCCUCAGAGGCCGACCGAUACUGUCGGGCUAGAGUCCGGAAGAGGCGAGUGAAAUUCCUGGUGUAGCGGUGAAAUGCGCAGAUAUCAGGAGGAACACCAAUGGCGAAGGCAGCUCGCUGGGACGGUACUGACGCUGAGACGCGAAAGCGUGGGGAGCGAACAGG